GGUGACGGAGGCGGGAAAGGGGUGGGGUGCUCUGGAUAACUGUUUUUGUCAUGCCUCUACCCUAAGACCUGUCCAACUUGGGUGUCCCACCUGAAGGCUAAGCUUCUGCUGGUGUAGCUCUUAGGGUUACUGAGGCACGCAAAC